GACGUCGAUAUUCGACGUCAUAAACACGAUCAACUUUGGUGUUUAAGACGUCGAUAUUCGACGUCAUAAACAGGAACAAGUUUGGUGUUUAUGACGUCGAUAUUCGACGUCAUAAACACGAUCAACUUUGGUGUUUAUGACGUCGAUACUCGACGUCAUAAAUACGAUCAACUUUGGUGUUUAUGACGUCGAUAUUCGACGUCAUAAACACGAUCAACUUUGGUGUUUAUGACGUCGAUAUUCGACGUC